AUGUAUACUUCUUUAGCUGUAUGUAUACAUGUUUUGCUGUAUGUAUACUUGUUUUGCUUUAUGUAUACUUGUUUUGCUGUAUGUAUACUUGUUUUGCUGUUUGUGUACAUGUUUUGCUGUAUAUACACAUUUUUGCUUUAUAUACACAUGUUUUGCUAUUUGUAUACAUGCUUUGCUGUAUAUACACAUUUUUGUUGUAUGUAUACUUGUUUAGCUGUAUGUAUACAUGUUUUGCUUUAUGUAUACUUGUUUUGCUGUAUGUAUACUUGUUUUGCUGUAUGUAUACUUGUUUUGCUGUAUGUAUACUUGUUUUGCUGUAUGUAUACUUGUUUUGCUGUAUGUAUACUUGUUUUGCUGUAUGUAUACUUGUUUUGCUGUAUGUAUACUUGUUUUGCUGUAUGUAUACUUGUUUUGCUGUAUGUAUACUUGUUUUGCUGUAUGUAUACUUGUUUUGCUGUAUGUAUACUUGUUUUGCUGUAUGUAUACUUGUUUUGCUGUAUGUAUACUUGUUUUGCUGUAUGUAUACUUGUUUUGCUGUAUGUAUACUUGUUUUGCUGUAUGUAUACUUGUUUUGCUGUAUGUAUACUUGUUUUGCUGUAUGUAUACUUGUUUUGCUGUAUGUAUACUUGUUUUGCUGUAUGUAUACUUGUUUUGCUGUAUGUAUACUUGUUUUGCUGUAUGUAUACUUGUUUUGCUGUAUGUAUACUUGUUUUGCUGUAUGUAUACAUGUUUUGCUGUAUGUAUACUUGUUUUGCUGUAUGUAUACUUGUUUUGCUGUAUGUAUACUUGUUUUGCUGUAUAUACACAUUUUUGCUGUAUGUAUACAUGUUUUGCUGUAUAUACACAUUUUUGCUGAAUGUAUACUUCUUUAGCUGUAUGUAUACAUGUUUUGCUGUAUGUAUACUUGUUUUGCUGUAUGUAUACUUGUUUUGCUGUAUGUAUACUUGUUUUGCUGUAUGUAUACUUUUUUGCUGUAUGUAUACUUGUUUUGCUGUAUGUAUACUUGUUUUGCUGUAUGUAUACUUGUUUUGCUGUAUGUAUGCAUGUUUUGUUGUAUAUACGCAUUUUUGCUGUACAUUUGCAUGUUUUUGCUGUAUGUAUACUUGGUUUUCCUGCAGUGAUUGUUUUGUCUACAUGUUCAAAAACAGAAUUAAACAAAAAAAGAAUUGUAAAGGCUUAAAGUACCUCGGAACUGAUUAA
rnacentral:lncRNA from 1 species